UCUUAGUAUUUUUUGGAAUGAACUCAAUCAAUCAAUUAAGGUCAUGUGACUUCCUCUCAGGCACGUCUUUUUGCGGUACUUUCGGGCAGAGAAAGGGUGGGGAAGAAUGCCGGGAGUGAUUGAACCAGUCGUGUAAUUGGGACAUACAGUUUCAAGUGGUUCUCUUUCUUCUCUUGUUGUGGCUGGAUGAUUCCCUAAUUAUAUAAAUAAUAAAUCGAUAAAGGUAAAGUCUCUG
rnacentral:misc_RNA from 1 species